rnacentral:rRNA from 1 species
ACGUACACUCCUGCGGGAGGCAGCAGUGGGGAAUUUUGGACAAUGGGCGAAAGCCUGAUCCAGCCAUGCCGCGUGCAGGAUGAAGGCCUUCGGGUUGUAAACUGCUUUUGUACGGAACGAAACGGCCUUUUCUACUAAAGAGGGCUAAUGACGGUACCGUAAGAAUAAGCACCGGCUAACUACGUGCCAGCAGCCGCGGUAAUACGUAGGGUGCAAGCGUUAAUCGGAAUUACUGGGCGUAAAGCGUGCGCAGGCGGUUAUGUAAGACAGUUGUGAAAUCCCCGGGCUCAACCUGGGAACUGCAUCUGUGACUGCAUAGCUAGAGUACGGUAGAGGGGGAUGGAAUUCCGCGUGUAGCAGUGAAAUGCGUAGAUAUGCGGAGGAACACCGAUGGCGAAGGCAAUCCCCUGGACCUGUACUGACGCUCAUGCACGAAAGCGUGGGGAGCAAACAGGAUUAGAAACCCGAGUAGUCCCA